rnacentral:rRNA from 1 species
UACGGAGGGUCCAAGCGUUAUCCGGAAUCAUUGGGUUUAAAGGGUCCGUAGGCGGUUUUGUAAGUCAGUGGUGAAAGCCCAUCGCUCAACGGUGGAACGGCCAUUGAUACUGCAAGACUUGAAUUAUUGUGAAGUAACUAGAAUAUGUAGUGUAGCGGUGAAAUGCUUAGAGAUUACAUGGAAUUCCAAUUGCGAAGGCAGGUUACUAACAAUAUAUUGACGCUGAUGGACGAAAGCGUGGGUAGCGAACAGG